CUGCUAUCGGAUGAUACUAAGCCAUGCGAGUCUUUGUAGUAAUACAAGGCAGACGGCUCAGUAACACGUAGUCAACCUACCCUAUGGACGAGAAUAAUCUCGGGAAACUGAGCAUAAUUCUUGAUAGAUCAUAAUGCCUGGAAUGGUUUAUGGUUAAAAUGAUUCGUCGCCAUAGGAUGGGACUGCGGCCUAUCAGCUUGUUGGUGAGGUAAUGGCCCACCAAGGCGAUUACAGGUACGGGCUCUGAGAGGAGAAGCCCGGAGAUGGGUACUGAGACACGGACCCAGGCCCUAUGGGGCGCAGCAGGCGAGAAAACUUUGCAAUGUGCGAAAGCACGACAAGGUUAAUCCGAGUGAUUUCUGCUAAAGAAAUCUUUUGCCAGUCAUAAAACCACUGGUGAAUAAGGGGUGGGCAAGUUCUGGUGUCAGCCGCCGCGGUAAAACCAGCACCUCAAGUGGUCAGGAUGAUUAUUGGGCCUAGAGCAUCCGUAGCCGGCUUUGUAAGUUUUCGGUUAAAUCCACGUGCUCAACGCAUGGGCUGCCGAAAAUACUGCAUAGCUAGGGAGUGGGAGAGGUAGACGGUACUCAGUAGGUAGGGGUAAAAUCCUUUGAUCUAUUGAUGACCACCUGUGGCGAAGGCGGUCCACCAGAACACGUUCGACGGUGAGGGAUGAAAGCUGGGGGAGCAAACCGGAUUAGAUACCCGGGUAGUCCCAGCUGUAAACGAUGCAGACUAGAUGAUGCAUUGGCAUAAUAGCCAUUGCAGUGUCUCAGGGAAGCCGUUAAGUCUGCCGCCUGGGAAGUACGUACGCAAGUAUGAAACUUAAGGAAUUGGCGGGGAGCACCACAAGGGUGAAGCCUGCGGUUCA
rnacentral:rRNA from 1 species